UACGAGGGGGGGCAAGCGUUUGUUCGGAAUUAUUGGGCGUAAAGGGCGCGUAGGCGGUGCGGUAAGUCACCUGUGAAAACUCUGGGCUCAACUCAGAGCCUGCAGGCGAAACUGCCGUGCUUGAGUGUGGGAGAGGUGCGUGGAAUUCCCGGUGUAGCGGUGAAAUGCGUAGAUAUCGAGAGGAACACCUGCGGCGAAGGCGGGUUGCUGGGCUGACACUGACGCUGACAGCGCGAAAGCUAGGGGGAGCGAACGGG
rnacentral:rRNA from 1 species